rnacentral:rRNA from 1 species
GUCCACGCCGUAAACGAUGAAUACUAGGUGUCGGGGGGCAAAGCCCUUCGGUGCCGCCGCAAACGCAAUAAGUAUUCCACCUGGGGAGUACGUUCGCAAGAAUGAAACUCAAAGGAAUUGACGGGGGCCCGCACAAGCGGUGGAGCAUGUGGUUUAAUUCGAAGCAACGCGCAGAACCUUACCAACCCUUGACAUGGGUAUCGCGGACCCGGAGACGGGUCUUUCAGUUCGGCUGGAUACCACACAGGUGCUGCAUGGCUGUCGU